ACUCAAAUGAAUUGACGGGGGCCCGCACAAGCGGUGGAGCAUGUGGUUUAAUUCGACGCAACGCGAAGAACCUUACCUGGGCUCGAACGGCUUAAGACCGGUGUAGAAAUACAUUUUUUCCGCAAGGAACUUGAGUCGAGGUGCUGCAUGGCUGUCGUCAGCUCGUGUCGUGAGAUGUUGGGUUAAGUCCCGCAACGAGCGCAACCCUUGCCCUGUUUUGCCAUCAUUCAGUUGGGAACUAUCAGGGGACCGCCAGCGAUAAGCUGGAGGAAGGUGGGGAUGACGUCAAGUCAUCAUGGCCUUUAUGUCCAGGGCUACACACGUGCUACAAUGGACGGUACAAUGCGCUGCCAACCCGCGAGGGGGAGCAAAUCGCAAAAAACCGUUCUCAGUUCGGAUCGCAGGCUGCAACUCGCCUGCGUGAAGCUGGAAUCGCUAGUAAUGGCAUAUCAGAACGAUGCCGUGAAUACGUUCCCGGGCCUUGUACACACCGCCCGU
rnacentral:rRNA from 1 species